rnacentral:tRNA from 1 species
GGUCUGUUGGUGAAGCGGUUAACACACAUGGUUUUCAUCCAUGCACGCACGGGUUCGAUCCCAUAUAGACUCGCCA